rnacentral:rRNA from 1 species
CCUACGGGUGGCAGCAGUGAGGAAUAUUGGUCAAUGGGCGCUAGCCUGAACCAGCCAAGUAGCGUGCAGGAUGACUGCCCUAUGGGUUGUAAACUUCUUUUAUACGAGAAUAAAGUGAAGUAUGUAUACUGCUUUGCAUGUACCUUACGAAUAAGGAUCGGCUAACUCCGUGCCAGCAGCCGCGGUAAUACGGAGGAUUCGAGCGUUAUCCGGAUUUAUUGGGUUUAAAGGGAGCGUAGGCGGGUUGUUAAGUCAGAUGUGAAAUGUUGCGGCUCAACAUUAGAAUUGCAGUUGAUACUGGCAUGCUAGAGUAUAGUAGAGGUAGGCGGAAGUCGUGGUGUAGCGGUGAAAUGCUUAGAUAUCACGAAGAACCCCGAUUGCGAAGGCAGCCUGCUGGACUGUGACUGACGCUGAUGCUCGAAAGUGUGGGUAUCAAACAGGAUUAGAUACCCGAGUAGUC